rnacentral:rRNA from 1 species
GAUGAACGCUGGCGGCGUGCCUAAUACAUGCAAGUCGAGCGAACAGACGAGGAGCUUGCUCCUCUGACGUUAUCGGCGGACGGGAGAGUCACACGUGGAUAACAUAACUAUAAGACUGGGAUAACUUCGGGAAACCGGAGCUAAUACCGGAUAAUAUAUUGAACCGCGUGGGUCAAUAGUUAAAGUCGGUUUUGCUGUCACUUAUAGCUGGAUCCGCGCCGCAUUAGCUAGUUGGUAAGGUAACGGCUUACCAAGGCAACGAUGCGUAGCCGACCUGAGAGGGUGAUCGCACACACUGGAACUGAGACACGUUCCAGACUCCGACGGGAGGCAGCAGUAGGGAAUCUUCCGCAAUGGGCGAGAGCUUGACGGAGCAACGCCGCGUGAGUGAUGAAGGUCUUCGGAUCGUAAAACUCUGUUAUUAGGGAAGAACAAAUGUGUAAGUAACUAUGCACGUCUUGACGGUACCUAAUCAGAAAGCCACGGCUAACUACGUG